AUAGUACUCCCUCCGUCCAAAAAUACUUGUCGAAGAAAUGCAUAAAAAUAAAUGUAUCUAGAAUUAAAAUAUGUCUAGAUACAUCCAUUCCUCCGACAAGUAUUUCUGGACGGAGGGAGUACAAG
rnacentral:pre_miRNA from 1 species